GGUUUCAGUGGGAAUGUUUUCUGUGGUUGUGGAUCAUUGAGAAGAUGGUGCUGAUUUGCUCUGGUAAGCUGAAGGAACAACCAAGCACGUGGCAUGAAGUGAAAUAAGGACAAAUGCAAGAGACAUCCUGGAGACAGGCAACUGAGGACAAAGAAAGUCUGUGGGGAAAGGGUGGUGAACCAGGUGCCCACCUGCCAGCAUUAUUGCUGAGGCACAUCUCAGCCAGGCCAUCAAGCUCCAGAUGAUCCUCAGUGAGGGAUACCGCUCUCUCAGUAUUCAAGAGUCACCCUUCCACAGAGAAGCCCUAGACUGCCCAUCAGUGGAAUAUGAGAGAGAGCCAGAGCCUUCAGACCAAGACAAUCGAACAUCC
rnacentral:lncRNA from 1 species